AAACCUGUCGCACCAAAAAUUGCCAAAAGAGAAAAAGAGCGAUGAGUCCUUAAAAGUUGUUUAAAUGAUGUUAAUAAAGCCUUUCCUGACGUACGCGAGGCGCUCCUCCAUCUCCAGGGGCUUUUCGGCAGUUAUGCUGACUGGACGAAGAGUUCCCGAGAGCUAGAGUCGGUAAUUUUUAAAAAAAAAACAAAACAAAACACAAAAAAACCUUUGCGUUGGUGUCCCAGUGCCUUAUUUUGACCGGUUUCGAAGCAGACGGUUCGGCACCGCCUCGGAUGUGCAUGCACCCUGAUCGCGUCCCAGGUCCCACCGCGGCUUUGCUUGCAGUCGCCUCCCCGUGUAGUACAGAUGGUGAGAGGAGGAGAAAAAAAAAAAAAAUACAUAUAUAUAAUGUUUUGUGACGGAGUCGCUGCAUUCUCCUGUACUGGGGGCUCCUGAGCGGUUGGAAGGCUGGUCCAGUGCAGGAGUUACAACUCCGCGUUUGCCGCCGGAGACUUCGGGGGCACGUUUGACAACCGUCGAGAAGAAGCUAACACUGCUGCAUCGUUGGCUUCAGAACCCUCGCGCGUUUAUGCUUGUUAGAAUUAACGCGACACGCAGACGAAGACACCUUGAAAUGCAAGCUUGCCCUUGAUUGCCUUGACACGCUUUAACCUCCCGUGGAUCCCUGCGGCCCUGCGGGAGCGUCGCUAGGCUGCGGGUGCCUUCCCCCCCAAAAGGAUGCCGUGGUCGUGCUCCGCAAGGCUCUGCUCUGUAAAUCCCGACAUCAGCGAACGGCGUGAGCGGGGAGAAGCCGAUCUGCAGCCGGAGGUUCAUCCUGAGCCUGCUCCCUUGGGAACUCGAAGGCUCGAAGGCUCUUCUCCCACCUCCCAGCCCGAUGGUCCUCUGUGCUGUGGCGAAUAACACCGAGCCCGGGAGAGCGAGCGGCCACGGUGCAGCAUCCUUCUCCACGGAAAGAGGUUUUUGUGGAACGGCCGCUCUCCGUAUCCUCAUGGAAGUUUAAUCCUUGUCUCUCUGUACCAUCUCUAUCUUUGCAUCUCUCCCCGGGCCUAAUUAUUGGUAUCUAAAUAGAAUAAGCUACAAUCUCCCGCCGCGUUUUGGCACUCUGGAGGUCCUUGGCCGGCUCAUCCCAAGAGGGAUAUCGUGUGAGCCGCGGCGCAGGCGGAGCCGGAGCCUGGUGUGGGAAAGGAGAGUCCCGUGGCGCCGGAGGUGGUGACGUGGGUGGCUUCUCCCGUGACCCUGAUGGUUUUGGUUUAGUCUCGAAGGUG